UGCGGUCCAGUGUAGGGGGGGGCUCUUAGGUUGGCGGCGAUGGGCGCUGGGGGCGGGUGGCCUUGGCUUUGCUGCCGCCGCCGUCAACAGCCUGUCAUCGGGGUCCUGCCUAAGGUCCGGCUGGCACGGACUUGCCCGUGAGCUGGGAUGGAUUGGUUGCCGGACCGAGUCUCCUGCAGUUGGCAGGAGUAUGGGGCGGAGUGAUGCACGCCCAGUCGCUCAGCAUCGUUCGAGUUGUCAGAGACCUCGCUUCGGACCGUGUACUCCCCGUGGCUUCGUUCCCGAGCCCGGAAGCCCCUUUCUCGGGUGUGGAACUACGCUGCGCGGCCAGCUUGAGUUCCCCAAGGACGGAGUCGAAAGGUCACAUCUUAUCUGUCAGUGCUGUGUAAUGGCAAGCGACUGCACCUGCAGAACUCGAACCUAGAUCCGUAAUGCCCCCUACCUGGCUCUUUCAAGAUGGAGGAGAAGGCCUCGGGAGAGCCUGCACAUGUGGUGUCUAAACUCAAACUUCCCACCAAGGUAGAAAGCACAGGGCACUGGCUGGUGGAAGAUCAUGCUCGGAUAUGGGAAGUUUUAAAGACAGAGGAGAGCUCGAUUCAGGACUGGGGUGAAGAGGUAGAGGAAGGAGCUGUUUACCAUGUCACCCUCAAGAGAGUCCAGAUUCAACAGGCUGCCAAUAAAGGAGCGAGAUGGCU